AGUCUAUGAGGAAUUNNGCUUGCUAAUGGACUCAUGGCGGACGGGUGAGUAACGCGUAAAGAACUUGCCCUUUAGACUGGGAUAACAGAGGGAAACUUCUGAUAAUACUGGAUAAGUUAGUAUAUCGCAUGAUAUGCAAAUGAAAGCUACGGCACUAAAGGAGAGCUUUGCGUCCUAUUAGCUAGUUGGUAAGGUAAGAGCUUACCAAGGCGAUGAUAGGUAGCCGGCCUGAGAGGGUGGACGGCCACAAGGGGACUGAGAUACGGCCCUUACUCCUACGGGAGGCAGCAGUGGGGAAUAUUGGACAAUGGAGGGAACUCUGAUCCAGCAAUUCUGUGUGUGUGAAGAAGGUUUUAGGACUGUAAAACACUUUUAGUAGGGAAGAAAAAAAUGACGGUACCUACAGAAGAAGCAACGGCUAAAUACGUGCCAGCAGCCGCGGUAAUACGUAUGUUGCGAGCGUUAUCCGGAAUUAUUGGGCUUAAAGGGCAUCUAGGCGGUAAGACAAGUUGAAGGUGAAAACCUGUGGCUCAACCAUAGGCUUGCCUACAAAACUGUUGAACUAGAGUACUGGAAAGGUGGGUGGAACUACACGAGUAGAGGUGAAUUUCGUAGAUAUGUGUAGGAAUGCCGAUGAUGAAGAUAACUCACUGGACAGAAACUGACGCUGAAGUGCGAAAGCUAGGGGAGCAAA
rnacentral:rRNA from 1 species